rnacentral:tRNA from 1 species
ACGGGGAUGGAGCAAGAGUGGCUCAGAGGUCUCAUAAGCCUCAUAUCAGCAGGUGCAACUCCUGCCCCCGUCACCA